UAAAGUCGGUUUGCUUAAUGGUUCCAACUCCUCCAUCUCCCUGAAGAAGCACGAUGCUUUUGAUGGACUGGGGGAGAAUUUUAGGGGCAUAGACAUGAGCUUCAAGGAGUAAGGCCUUGUACAACUUGGCUGGGGGGACUGCAGUAGCAAUCUCAGUCUGAGUAGUAAGAAUAGCCAUAGUCGAUCGGUAAUCCUUAAUUUGAAACAAAGUAAAAAUAUAGAAGAAGGUAUUAGGAAAUGUAUAUUUGGUGUUUGUGGCGAAAAAUGCAAGAGCUAAGGGAGGUAUUUAUACACAGAUAACAAAGGAUUUGGCAUUCACUCGCACUUGAGUCAAAAUGUGCAGGUUUGUAAUAUAAAUGUAAAUGCUAUCUUGAUUUGUUUUUGUUUAGCAUUUUUACAUUGCAGGUCUCUUGGCGCAGCUUGUUUCCUUUGACCAAGUGUAAUGGCGCUGGACAUAAAUUAUUCAAUUGAGGAUCAUGAUGUUAUUAAUUAUUAUUAUGGGUGCAUACCUUCAAGAUAUAUAUAAAUUAAGGUUCUUUAUUAUUAAUAAUAUUGUUCAAUUUCUUUCUAGAUGGUCCAUUUUGACGGUGCUACAUUGUAACAUAUUGUUACCUUUAUACACUUGGUUUGGAAUGGGCCUUUCCCUUCAGACAGCGCACAUUCCAUACGAGGAUUUCAUGGAGCAGCACAAUUUUGUCGCUCCUAAGCAACGUGGGACGCAUUAAGUACGUAUCGUCAUUUUUUUAACAAUUAAUAACAAAAAUAAGAUUUUAAAUGCCUUUGAGUAUCAAAUCACAACUAGUUAUUCACAUUUAUAGAUUUAAAAAAUAUAUUUUUUUAAUUUAUAGAGUAGUCGUCCUUAAAAAAUAUCUGUAGUCAAAAGGAUUUGAAAUUAAGAUCUCCCGCUCUUUACAUAAGUGAAAAAACAAAUCAGACCAUCACCUGAUUGACCGUAAAUUUAAAAAUAUUACACUUGAAAAAUGUGUAAUUAAAAUAAUUAAGAAAUUUAUUAUUUUUAUUUAAUGAAUAAUAAUUGACUAUAUUAUUAAUACAAAAAAUUACAACAAUUAGAAUUUAUCAAUCCUAACUCCGUUAAAAUCUAACUCCGUCCCUGAUCAUCUUCUUUACUCUGAUAAAUUUUUUUCAUAUUCAUGACUUUCAGUAAGAUAGUAAGAAUUCAACUAAUGGUUAGAUGAAGAGGUUAGAAGUAGAAUAAUUUACUUGAAUAUAAUAAGUGUUCCUUUCGUAAAUUAUAAAUGCUAAAUUUUGCUUUUUCAUUUUUUUCAUAAUUGGAUAUGUAAUUCGAUUUGAAAUUGAUUUUUAAGUCAAUUUAGAUCAUAAAAGUUGAAUUUAUAAUUAAUUUAUCCUUUUUUUUUUUUCAAAAAGUAGUAAGAUAUUUAUAGACCAUGGAACUUGCAUGAUAAGAAUUUUUAAUGUUAGAGUACCAUUAAUUAUGAAAUAUUCCAGCUCAAUUUAUAUUGAAAGCCGCCUAGUAAUAAUAUUUUAAUUUAUUUUAUUGUAAAAUUAAUUAUUAACAUAAUCUUAUUGUAUUAUAAUAAAAAUAUAAAUUUUCUAUCAAUCAUGUGUGAUUUAAUUGGCUUUUCACUCAUAUAAAAAGUGAGAUGUCUCAAAUUCGAAUCACUUUCUACCACAAGUGACUUAGGGUUAAUGUUGUAUAAUCAACAAAAAAUAGGGAGAGCUUCAGAUAGAAUUUUAAAAUUUAAAAAAAAAAAAAAAACUGAAGAGUACUUCAGACAGGGCUCAUUUCAUGCGAGUAUUUCAUGGAGCAGCCCAAAUUAAUAAAAAAAAAAAAAAUUUUAAAUAUCUUUUGAAUAUCAAAUUAUAUUCACAUCCAGCGAGUGCUAUAUUUAUAGAUUUACAAAUAUAAUAUUUGAAAAAUUUAUAAUUAAAAUAAUUAAAAUUUAUUUAUUUAUUUAUUUUUUGAAUGAAUAAUAAUUUGACUAUAUUAUCAAUUCAGAAGUUCAGUAAUGUGAUUAAAUUAUGUUUAAUUUCACAUCAUUUAUAAUUAAUGUAUUUGGUAUAUACUCCUUUCUUUUUAAAAAAUAAGUGUCUUUUUUUAGCUCGACAUAUAUAUUAAGGAAUGCAAUCAAUAAUCUAAAUUUUGCAAAAAUAUUUAAAAUAUAUAUAUAUAUAUUUUAUAAAAUAUCAUUUUUAAUUUUCUCAAACUAAUAUUUAUGGAUAAAAUAACUUAUACUUGUGUACCGAGGACAUAGUUACUUAGUCCAAACCAAAAAAAAUUAUUAGAGUCAACAUACUCGAGAAAGAAAUGCAUCAUCUUAUGAAGGAAAAUAAAAUUUUAGUAGAAUAUUUAUUGCAAGUCCACGCAUUUUACAUUUUCACUCCAAAAUCCAAAUACAAAUGCUAAAAGCCAUCCAUUCAAGUUCAAUCCAACAAUAAUUUUAUUACCAAAGCCAAAACAAAUUUUGGCAUUCAUGGAAAAGAGGACAGAAAAAAAAAAAAGAAAACAGGCAAGAUCGAUGGGCAGUAAUUAGGUCAUGACUGAUGAAAUUUUAGUUCUAGGCAUCAGGAUUUGCGACAAGAUAGGCUUCAACAGCCUUGACAAAUCCAUCGGUCGUAUCCUCAGCCUCCUUGAUUUUGCUGGGAUCGAUCUCAGCGUUGCCCUUAGGGUAGUACUUGUUGGUGGCCUUGUAGAUGGAACCUCCGCCAGGAGUAGCUACUACUUCUGCCUCGUAUGUAGCUUUCUCUACUGUCUCUACCCAUGGUUCACCUUCAAAUGCAGUGUAGAUGUAUUUCAAAUUCCCUUCAUCUACUGCAUCUACCUUCACCUUUAAAUACACCCCAAACCCUGGAAAAAUGAAUGUUUUAGUAUUUAGUGAUCAUAAUGUAAAAAAAUCAAAUGUUCAAACUAAUUCUUUUUAAUCAACAACUAUUGCAAUACACCCGAAUAAAAUAAGUAAACAAACAAACCUUCUUUAAAGUCGGUUUGCUUAAUGGUUCCAACUCCUCCAUCUCCCUGAAGAAGCACGAUGCUUUUGAUGGACUGGGGGAGAAUUUUAGGGGCAUAGACAUGAGCUUCAAGGAGUAAGGCCUUGUACAACUUGGCUGGGGGGACUGCAGUGGCAAUCUCAGUCUGAGUAGUAAGAAUAGCCAUGGUAAUCCUUAAUUUGAAACAAAGUAAAAAUAUAGAAGAAGGUAUUAGGAAAUGUAUACUUGGUGUUUGUGGCGAAAAAUGCAAGAGCUAAGGGAGGUAUUUAUACACAGAUAACAAAGGAUUGGCAUUCACUCGCACUUGAGUCAAAAUGUGCAGGUUUUCAAUAUAAAUGUAAAUGCUAUCUUGAUUUGUUUUUGUUUAGCAUUUUUACAUUGCAGGUCUCUUGGCGCAGCUUGUUUCCUUUGACCAAGUGUAAUGGCGCUAGACAUAAAUUAUUCAAUUGAGGAUCAUGAUGUUAUUAAUUAUUAUUGUUAUUAUUGGUCCAUACCUUCAAGAUAUAUAUAAAUUAAGGUUCUUUAAUUAUUAAUAAUAUUGUUCAAUUUCUUUCUAGAUGGUCCAUUUUGACGGUGCUACAUUGUAAUAUAUUGUUACCUUUAUACACUUGGUUUGGAAUGGGUGAAAGAAAGUUUAUCCUCUCCCUUUUGUUAUAAAAUAAAAAAAAAAGAUAAUGUUAGAUACGAAUAUUAUAAAUACAUUUUUUUGCAUGAAUAAUAUAAAAAAAUAAAUCUAAAGAGAGAAAGGUGAUUGUGUUUGUUGCAUAUGUAAGACGUUAAAGAGAAGCCAGUAUUAUAGACCUUGGAACUUGCAACAUAAGAAAUUCCAAUGCCAGAGUACAAUUAAUUAUGAAUUAAUUUAUACUGAAAGCCCCCUAAUUAAUUUAUUAUAUUGUAAUAAUCACACAACUUUUAUUGAUAUAAUUAAUGAUUUACAUAAUUUUAUCGUAUUCUAAAAAAUAAUGUAGUGUUUUUAUCAAUCAGGUGUGUUUGUUUGGAUUAUAAGUGUUUUCAUCAAAUUACUGAAUCAGAAGAAGACUAUUAUAUUCUAUAAUCUAUAAUCUUAUUUCAAACGAAUAAAAAAAAUUAUGAAGAGAGCUUCUGUUGAUAGAAUCAAUUUUAAAAUUUAAAAAAAUAAAAAAAUUUUGCGAGUGCUUCAGACAGCGCACAUUCCAUAUGAGGAUUUCAUGGAGCAGCCCAAUUUUGUCGCACCUAAGCAACGUGGGACGCAUUAAGUACGUAUCGUCAUUUUUUUAAAAAUUAAUAAAAAAAAUAAGAUUUUAAAUGCCUUUGAAUAUCAAAUCACACCUAGUUAUUCACAUUUGUAGAUUAAAAAAAAUAUAUUUUUUAAUUUAUGGAGUAGUCGUCCUUAAAAAAUAACUGUAGUCAAGAGCAUUUGAAAUUAAGAUCUCUCACUCUUCACAUAAAUGAGAAAACAAAUCAGAUCACCACUUAAUUGGCCGUAAAUUAAAAAAUAUGGCAAUUGAGAAAUGUGUAAUUAAAAUAAUUAAGAAAUUUAAUUAUUUUUUAUUUAAUGAAUAAUAAUUACUAUAUUAUUAAUCCAAAAAAUUACAACAAUUAGAAUUUAUCAAUCCUUAAAAUAAAAAAAAUAUGAAAAAAAACAUAAUUAAAAAUUAUAUUUCGUUGAAUUAAUUAUUAUUCUAUUGUUUUGAGAUUUUUUUUGGUAAGUAACAUAAAUCUAUGUUAUUAAAUUAUUAAUUCUAAGCUAUGCAAAAUUAAUUGUACAUAUUAAUGAAAUUUUUUGGCCACAAACGGUAAAUAUGUCAUCUUCAUGGGCGGAGGGAUGGGACUGGGGAGGCCGGGCCCCUCUAAACUCUAGAAUUUUUCCUAUUUUUGCUUUAUAAUUUAAUAAAAAAAAUAUUUUUCUUCAUUUUGGUCCCUUGACUUUUAAAAUUUUUAUUUUGACCACUCUGAAUUCUAAAAUCUAACUCCCACCUGAUCAUCUUCUUUAUUUUGAUAAAUUUUUUUGAUAUUCACGACUUUCAGUAGGAUAGUAAGAAUUCAACUAAUAGUUAGAUGAAGAGGUUAGAAAUAGAAUAAUUUACUUGAAUAAAAUAAGUGUUCCUUUCGUUAAUAAGUUAAAUGUUAAAUUUUGCUUUUUCAUUUUUUUCAUAAUUGGAUAUGUAAUUCGAUUUGAAAUUGAUUUUUAAGUCAAUUUAGAUCAUAAAAUUUGAAUUUGUAAUUAAUUUAUCCUUUUUUUUUUUUUUCAAAAAGUAGUAAGAUAUUAAAUUUUUAUUUUUGAAAUAAUAAAAAUUAACAAUCGAAGACUAAAGAAAAAAAAAUGUAAAAUUAAAAGACAUUUUGUUUCGAUUCUUGUUUUCUUCUCCUCUUGGAUGAUAAGAUUGAGUUUCUGUCUAUUGUUAUUAUUAUUUUUAAAAUUUUGAAAGGAUAUUUAAAAAAGUAAUAUUAUAUAUACUAAAAAAAAAAGAAGUAAUAAUAUAUUACUUUUUUACCAAUAAUAAGAUACAUAGAGUCAAAACCUAAGUCUUAAAUUGAAGAUUUAAAUUCAACAUUUUCCCCUGUUACUUAGAUGGUAAGUGAUCUCAAAAUUUUAUAAGAGUAAGAAUACAAAUUUAAUUUUCAUAAUUACACUUUUACAUACAGCCCGAGAGAAAUUAUAACCCUAAAUAAAAAAAAAUAAAACUUAACAUAUAGUCAAAGUAUCAACUGUCUAGCAUUUGCGUCGACAGUGACAUAUAUAGAUACAUGGGCGAAACCAAAAUUAUUAGAUUAAACACAAUAUUAAUCAAGAACAAGAAAAUAUUAGUAGAAAUCGAAUAUUUAUUGCAAGUUCAAGGCAUUUUACAUUUUCACUCUCCAAAAUCCAAAAACAAAUACAAAUGCUAAAAGCCAUCCAUUCAACCCAAUACUGCAUACACAAACUUUAUUAUCAUGCCAAAAACACUCGUAGAAAAGAGAAAAAGAAACAAGCAAGAUCGAUGGGCAGUAAUUGGGACACGGCUUAUGAAAUUUUAGUUUCAGGCAUCAGGAUUUGCCACAAGAUAGGCUUCAACAGCCUUGACAAGUCCUUCGGUUUUUUCUUCAGCAUCCUUGAUUUUGCUGAUAUCGAUCUCAGCGUUGCCCUUAGGGUAGUACUUGUUGGUGGCCUUGUAGAUGGAUCCUCCGCCAGGAGCAGCUACUACUUGUGUCUCAUACGUAGCUUUUUCUACCGUAUCUACCCACGGCUCACCUUCAAACGCAGUGUAGACGAAUUUCAAGUUGGCUUCAUCUACUGCAUCUACCUUGACCUUUAAGUAGACUCCAAACCCUGCAUGUCGAAAAAAAAAAAUCAAAUAUUCAAAUUCUGAUGAACUAAUUCUUUUUAUAUCAACAGUUAUAUUGCAAUGCACCCAAAUAAACAAACAAACAGACAAACCUUCUACAAAGUUGGUUUUCUUAAUAGUUCCAGCACCUCCAUCUCCCUGAAGAAUAUCGAUGCUUUUGAUGAACUGGUGGAGAAUUUUAGGGGCAUAGACAUGAGCUUCAAAGAGUAAAGCCUUGAACAACUUGGCUGGGGGAACUGCAGUAGCAAUCUCAGUCUGAGUAGUAACAACAGCCAUGAUCUUUGAAGAAUAUAAAAAUAACGAGUAAGGUAAUGUAUGUUUGGUGGGUGUGGGGAAAUGCAAGAGCUAAGGAAGGUAUUUAUAGAUAGAGACAUCAAAGAAUUCGCACUCGCUCGCACUUAAAAGUCAAAUUUGCUGGCUAUAACUGUAGAUGCAAAUUCUAUCUUGAUUUGUUCUUGUUUGGCAUCUUUACAUUGGAGAUCUCCUGGCUCUGCAUGGUUUCUAUUGUCCAAGUGUAAUGGCGGGAGACAGAAAGUAUUCAAUUGAGGAUCAUGAUGAUAUUAAUUAUUAUUAUUAUUAUUAUUAUUAUUACUGUUAUUGGUUCACACAUUCUAGAUAUAGAAAUUAAGGUUCUUGGUCGGAGUUUUAAUAAUGUUGUUCAAAUACUUUUCUAGAUGGUCCAUUUUGACGUUCAUAUAUGUAUAUGAUGAAGUAGUAGUACUAUAUACUGUUACCUGUGUACACCUGGUUUGCAAUGGGUGAAAGAAACUUUAAUAAACUACGGCGAGCUAAAUGCUCAGAGGUUUAUCUCUCCUUUUUGUAAAUAAAAAACCAAAAAAAAAAAAAAAAUGCUAUGAUAAGAUAAAAAGUAUGGUCGGGUAAUGGUAUUUUUUUUAUAAUGUUUAAUAAUUUUGUAUUGUUUAAUUAUUCUUAGAAGAUAAUAUUAAUAUUUCGUUUGUUUCUGUAAAAUAACUUGUAAAAAAUAUUUUCCAAAUGAUUGAUUUUUUAUUGUUUGGUUGUAAUAUUUAAAAUUAGUUAAAAAUAUUAAUUAAAUUCUUUUUCUCAUAAGACCAUAAAAAUAUUAAUAAUAAUAGAAAUUUUAUAAUUUUAAAAUUUUAUUGUUAAAUAUGAGAAGAAUGAAAAAAAAAAUGUAAAUUAUGAAAGCUGCCGGUGGCCAGCGAUGGUGGUCGGUGGUAAAUGGUGACUGAUAGUAAUGACUAUGAUGAUUAAUAAAUUACAAAAAAUGUGGAUUUAUAAGGUUUAUCAACGUCCGGAAAAUGUUUUAUUAUCUCGAAAUUGAGAAGUUGUUUUCCUUAAAAAAUGACUUAUUUUUUUUUAAUCAGAAAAAUAUUUUCCGUUGAUUUAUUUUACUGAACGCCCCAAACAACAGAAAAUUGUGAAAAAUAUUUUUCUGCACGUUAUUUUACGGUAAUAAACGGAGGCUAAAUAUGAAUAAAUAUCUUUUUUCAUGAAAGUUUUUGUUUUAAAUAUAUAAAUUGAUUAAAAUUAUUUUUUAAUGAAAUAAUAUAGAUAAUAUAAAAAAUUAAAACUUUUAAGUCUUUUCAACAUUCCACUUUAGUGGGUUGAAAAUUUGAUGAUUUUGAGAUAUUUUAACCUAAAGCAAAAAUAAAAUAAAAUAAAAUAAAAAGCUGAGUUGAAAAUUUUUUAAUCUCCUUUCUUAAGAUUUCUUACAUGGGCCUUUGCCUAGUUAUAUAUGUAAAAAUAAAUUCUCAUUUCUCAAACACACUUAUUAAAUUUAAAGCAAACCAAAAAAUCACCUGAUUAGCUAAAUUAUACUUUAUUUUGAUAAUAUUUAUCUUGGAAAGAUAUUCACUUUCACGAGUAUUUAUAUAAUUUCUGAAAAUAAUUUUAAAAAUAAAAUUUUAAAUUCCAAAAUACUAACAACACGUUACCAUAUUAAAAGAAAAUAUAAUAAAUUGGUAUUUUAAUUUAAUUUAAACGUUAACAUCUUGAAAAUAUAAAAUCAAUGUAUUACAUUAUGGUUGGGGAAAAACAAAUUAUGGAAAAUUUUAAGACAGUUGAAUUAAGCACACCUCUAAGCAAAUCCUGAUGACUAUUAUGAAUAUUAUAUAUGUUUAAUUAAGAUUGUUAAGGUCAUCGGCAAAUCCGUAGUUAUCAAAAGUCAAUUAAGACCAAUAGUUUCUAUAUUGAUUAAUGAACUUAUGAGUAUAUAUUUAUAUAUAUGCAAUUUUUUGAAAGUAAUUUCAUUUAUAUAUAUAUAUAUGUGUGUGUGUGUGUUUCAGGAGUAAUAACAUGAAGAAAAUAGAAAAAGUUGAUGACAUUAUUAUAAAAAAAAAAAAAAGAAAACAGGCAAGAUCGAUGGGCAGUAAUUAGGUCAUGACUGAUGAAAUUUUAGUUUUAGGCAUCAGGAUUUGCCACAAGAUAGGCUUCAACAGCCUUGAUAAAUCCAUCGGUCAUAUCCUCAGCCUCCUUGAUUUUGCUGGGAUCGACCUCAGCGUUGCCCUUAGGGUAGUACUUGUUGGUGGCCUUGUAGAUGGACCCUCCGCCAGGAGUAGCUACUACUUCUGCCUCAUAUGUAACUUUCUCUACUGUCUGUACCCAUGGUUCACCUUCAAAUGCAGUGUAGAUGAAUUUCAAAUUCCCUUCAUCUACUGCAUCUACCUUCACCUUUAAAUACACCCCAAACCCUGGAACAAUGAAUGUUUUAGUAUUUAGGGAUCAUAAUGUAAAAUCAAAUGUUCAAACUAAUUCUUUUUAAUCAACAACUAUUGCAAGACACCCGAAUAAAAUAAGUAAGCAAACAAACCUUCUUUGGAGAAUUUUAGGGGCAUAGACAUGAGCUACAAGGAGAAAGGCCUUGUACAGCUUGGCUGGGGGGACUGCAGUAGCAAUCUCAGUCUGAGUAGAAAGAAUAGCCAUGGUAAUCCUUAAUUUGAAACAAAGUAAAAAUAUAGAAGAAGGUAUUAGGAAAUGUAUACUUGGUGUUUGUGUCGAAAAAUGCAAGAGCUAAGGGAGGUAUUUAUACACAGAUAACAAAGGAUUGGCAUUCACUCGCACUUGAGUCAAAAUGUGCAGGUUUGUAAUAUAAACGUAAAUGCUAUCUUGAUUUGUUUUUGUUUAGCAUUUUUAUAUUGCAGAUCUUUUGGCGCAGGUUGUUUCCAUUGACCAAGUGUAAUGGCGCUAGACAUAAAAUAAUCAAUUGAGGAUCAUGAUGUUAUUAAUUAUAAUUAUUGGUCCAUACCUUCUAGAUAUAUAUAAAUUAAGGUUCUUUAAUUAUUAAUAAUAUUGAUCAAUUACCUUCUAGAUGGUCCAUUUUGACGGUGCUAUAUUAUAACAUAUUGUUACCUUUAUACACUUGGUUUGGAAUGGGUGAAAGAAAGUUUAUCCUCUCCCUUUUGUUAAAAAAUAAUAAUAAAAAGAUAAUAUUAGAUAUGAAUAUUAUAAAUAUAUAUUUUUGCAUGAAUAAUAUAAAAAAUUAAAUCUAAAGAGAGAGAGGGGUGAUUGUGUUUGUUGCAUAUGUAAGAUGUUAAAGAGAAGCCAGUAUUAUAGACCAUGGAACUUGCAACAUAAGAAAUUCCAAUGCCAGAGUACAAUUAAUUAUGAAUUAAUUUAUACUGAAAGCCGCCUAAUUAAUUUAUUAUAUUGUAAUAAUCACACAACUUCUAUUGAUAUAAUUAAUGAUUUACAUAAUUUUAUUGUAUUCUAACAAAUAAUAUAAUGUUUCUAUCAAUCAGGUGUGUUUGUUUCGACUAUAAAUGUUUUUAUCAAAUUAGUAAAUCAGAAGAAAACUACUGUAUUCUAUAAUCCAUAAUAUUAUUUCGGCAUCGUGUAACGAAUAAAAAAAAUUAUAAGAGAGCUUCUGUUGAUAGGAUCAAUUUUAAAAUUAAAAUAAAUAAAUAAAUUUUGGAGUACUUCAGACAGCGCACAUUUCAUACGAGGAUUUCAUGGAGAAGCCCAAUUUCGUCGCUCCUAAGCAACGUGGGACGCAUUAAGUAGGUAUCUUCAUUUUUUAAAAAAUUAAUAACAAAAAUAAGAUUUUAAAUGCCUUUGACUAUCAAAUCACAUCUAGUUAUUCACAUUUGUAGAUUUAAAAAAUAUAUAUUUUUUAAUUUAUGGAAGGGCUAUAUAAUAAGGGUAGUCGUCUUUAAAAACUACCUGUAGUAAAGAGGAUUUGAAAUUAAAAUCUCCCACUCUUUACAUAAGUGAUAAAACAAAUCAGACCAUUACUUGAUUGGCUGUAAAUUUAAAAAUAUGGCACUUGAGAAAUGUGUAAUUAAAAUAAUUAAAAAUCUUAUUUUUUAUUUAAUGAAUAAUAAUUUGACUAUAUUAUUAAUCAAAAAAUUACAACAAUUAGAAUUUAUCAAUCCUUAAAAUAAAAAAAAAAUAUGAAAAAAAACAUAAUUAAAAAUUAUAUUUCUUUGAAUUAAUUAUUAUUCUAUUGUUUUGAGAUUUUUUUUGUAAGUAACGUAAAUCUAUGUUAUUAAAUUAUUAAGUCUAAGCUAUGCGAAAUUAAUUGUACACAUUAAUGAAAUUUUUUGGCCACAUACGGUAAAUAUGUCAUCUUCAUGGGCGGAGGGAUGGGGCUGGGGAGGCCGGGCCCCUCUAAACUCUAGAAUUUUUCCUAUUUUUGCUUUAUAAUUUAAUAAAAAAAAUAUUUUUCUUUAUUUUGGUCCCUCGACUUUUAAAAUUUUUAUUUUAACCUCUCUAAAUUCUAAAAUCUAACUCCGUCCUGAUCAUCUUCUUUAUUAUGAUAAAUUUUUUUCAUAUUCAUGACUUUCAGUAAAACAGUAAGAAUUCAACUAAUGAUUAGAUGAGGAGGUUAGAAGUAGAAUUAUUUACUUGAAUAUAAUAAGUGUUCCUUUCGUUAAUAAGUUAAAUGCUAAAUUUUGCUUUUUCAUUUUUUCAUAAUUGGAUAUGUAAUUCGAUUUGAAAUUGAUUUUUAAGUCAAUUUAGAUCAUAAAAUUUGAAUUUAUAAUUAAUUUAUCCUUUUUUUUUUUUUCAAAAAGUAGUAAGAUAUUAAAUUUUUACUUUUGAAAUAAUAAAAAUUAACAAUCGAAGAUUAAAGAAAAAAAAAUGUAAAAUUAAAAGACAUUUUGUUUCUAUUCUUGUUUUCUUCUCCUCUUGGAUGAUAAGAUUGAGUUUCUGUCUAUUGUUAUUAUUAUUUUUAAAAUUUUGAAAGGAUAUUUAAAAAAGUAAUAUUAUAUAUACUAAAAAAAAAAGAAGUAAUAAUAUAUUACUUUUUUACCAAUAAUAAGAUACAUAGAGUCAAAACCUAAGUCUUAAAUUGAAGAUUUAAAUUCAACAUUUUCUCCAGUUACUUGGAUGAUAAGUGAUCUCAAAAAUUUAUAAGAGUAAGAAUACAAAUUUAAUUUUCAUAAUUACACUUUCGAGAGAAAUUAUAACCCUAAAUAAAAAAAAGAAUAAAUCUUAACAUAUAGUCAAAGUAUCAACUGUCUAGCAUUUGCGUCGACAGUGACAUAUAUAGAUACAUGGGCGAAACCCCAAAAUUAUUAGAUUAAACACAACAUUAAUCAAGAACAAGAAAAUAUUAGUAGAAAUAGAAUGUUUAUUGCAAGUCAAGGCAUUUUACAUUUUCACUCUCCAAAAUCCAAAAACAAAUACAAAUGCUAAAAGCCAUCCAUUCAACCCAAUACUGCACACACAAACUUUAUUAUCAUGCCAAAAACACUCGUAGAAAAGAGAAAAAGAAACAAGCAAGAUCGAUGGGCAGUAAUUGGGACACGGCUUAUGAAAUUUUAGUUUCAGGCAUCAGGAUUUGCCACAAGAUAGGCUUCAACAGCCUUGACAAGUCCUUCGGUCUUCUCUUCAGCAUCCUUGAUUUUGCUGAUAUCGAUCUCAGCGUUGCCCUUAGGGUAGUACUUGUUGGUGGCCUUGUAGAUGGAUCCUCCGCCAGGAGCAGCUACUACUUGUGUCUCAUACGUAGCUUUUUCUACCGUAUCUACCCACGGCUCACCUUCAAACGCAGUGUAGACGAAUUUCAAGUUGGCUUCAUCUACUGCAUCUACCUUGACCUUUAAGUAGACUCCAAACCCUGCAUGUCGAAAAAAAAAAAAUCAAAUAUUCAAAUUCUGAUCAACUAAUUCUUUUUAUAUCAACAGUUAUAUUGCAAUGCACCCAAAUAAACAAACAAACAGACAAACCUUCUACAAAGUUGGUUUUCUUAAUAGUUCCAGCACCUCCAUCUCCCUGAAGAAUAUCGAUGCUUUUGAUGAACUGGUGGAGAAUUUUAGGGGCAUAGACAUGAGCUUCAAAGAGUAAAGCCUUGAACAACUUGGCUGGGGGAACUGCAGUAGCAAUCUCAGUCUGAGUAGUAACAACAGCCAUGAUCUUUGAAGAAUAUAAAAAUAACGAGUAAGGUAAUGUAUGUUUGGUGGGUGUGGGGAAAUGCAAGAGCUAAGGAAGGUAUUUAUAGAUGGAGACAUCAAAGAAUUCGCACUCGCUGGCACUUAAAAGUCAAAUUUGCUGGCUAUAACUGUAGAUGCAAAUUCUAUCUUGAUUUGUUC
rnacentral:lncRNA from 1 species